rnacentral:rRNA from 1 species
AAUUUCCUACCCCCAAAAAUUUUCCCUUUUUACUAAAUAAAAAUCAAUACACAAAUAUAUAAUCUCAAUCUUUAACCUCCCUAGUACUGCAAAGGAAAACAUAAAUUUUCAAAAAGUAAAACUUAACACCUGUACCUUGUGCAUCAUGGCUAAGCAAGCCAACCCUAAUCACAGCCUUCCCCGAAAUCUUCACGAGCUGAUAAAAAUUUGUGACAGAACCCACUAUUGCAUGUUUCAUAAUGCUUAGAAAAAUUUUAUCAGAGGCUACAUACCUACCGCGUAAGACUAUAGCUGGUUUUCCAAAAAACUCACAUUAGUGAACCAAGAAAAAAUCUUUGAUAAAUAAUAAAGGAAAAGCUCUAUUAUUUUAGCCAAUAAAAAUCUAUUCCCCCUAAAGUAAGCCUAGAAACUGCUAACUUUUAAAUAACGUUAUAGUAUAAAUAAUAAAUUUCUACAAAAUUCUACAUAUUUAAUUGCCAACUAUUAUUGGAAAUCUUUUAUCAACUAUUUUAAAUCUAAAAUCUGCUUAGAUUAGUAUUAAUAAACCAAUUUUCAAUCUUUAAAAUUUAAACAUUUCAAAAAAAAAAUUCUUUACUAUAAGGAACUCGGCAAAUACAAGCUCCGACUGUUUAACAAAAACAUUGCCUCCCGAUUUUACAAUGAGAGGUUCAUCCUGCCCAAUGACUCUUAGUUCAAUGGCCGCGGUACCCUGACCGUGCAAAGGUAGCAUAAUCACUUGCCCCUUAAUUAGGGGCUGGCAUGAAAGGACACACGAAAGCUUCCCUGUCUCAUAGUAACAAAUAAAAAUUAAUCUUUAAGUGAAAAAGCUUAAAUAUCAUUGCAGGACAAGAAGACCCCGUUGAGCUUCAUUCUCAAUAGACAAAAUAAAAUAUACUUUAUAACCUAAACCUAAAAAAGAAUUUAGUUGGGGUGACUAAGGAACAUCAAAAACUUCCUUUUACUUUAUAGGAAAAUUUUCCAAAAUAAUUGACCCAUAUAUCAUGAUCAAAAAAAUAAGCUACCACAGGGAUAACAGGCUAAUCUUUCUUAAGAGCCCAAAUUGUCAGAAAGGAUUGGCACCUCGAUGUUGGCUUAGGGGCCCCUAAUGGCGCAGAAGCCAUAAAAGGUAGGUUUGUUCAACCUUUAAAACCCUACAUGAGCUGAGUUCAGACCGGCGCAAGCCAGGUUAGUUUCUAUCCUCAAUAUAAAAACUUACAUAAUAGUACGAAAGGACCUUAUUGUAAUAAAAACUUUAAAUUUAAUGAAAACAACUAAUAAACUUUUAAAAAUAAACCAAAACAUAUUAUUUU